CGCUGAACUACUGGUCGUCUAGGUCGGUAAGGAGCUCGACAAAUCUGAAAGAAAGAGGAAAAAGCGAUACGCGAAUGUUGCGCGUACAGUAUAAACGUGCCUCUGGCUCAAAGGUGUGAGUUAAAAGUGGAUUAAAAUCCUGUGAAAGGAGUGUUAAAAGUUAAAAAUAGAAAGAGGAGAAAAAAAGCGAAAAAAGGGAAAAUGGAAAAUGGAAAAUGGAAAAACAACAGAAGAAGAGAAUUAUAAAUGAAGUUCUUGGAAUACCUUCAUGAGAUGAAAGGCAGCUAACAGAAAUUGCGUUCCGAAGCAGCACCGGCAUCUGUAGAUACUCGUACAACUAUACGUACGCGUACGUAAGUAUACCAAUACCACGGAAACUGUGGAGAUCGGGCGUGCCUCGCUCGCUGCUAAUGGAGACGCGAUGAUAUCGAGAGAAUCUCUGGCAUUUGGAAGAGCUCCGUCUUCCUCCUCCUUUUCGCUCUGCAGGACCCGAAGCAGAAAUUUC